rnacentral:rRNA from 1 species
GACAAACCGGAGGAAGGUGGGGAUGACGUCAAAUCAUCAUGCCCCUUAUGACCUGGGCUACACACGUGCUACAAUGGACGGUACAAAGAGCUGCAAGACCGCGAGGUGGAGCUAAUCUCAUAAAACCGUUCUCAGUUCGGAUUGUAGGCUGCAACUCGCCUACAUGAAGCUGGAAUCGCUAGUAAUCGCGGAUCAGCAUGCCGCGGUGAAUACGUUCCCGGGCCUUGUACACACCGCCCGUCACACCACGAGAG